CCAAUCGGAUCCAAGAAAUUGCACCAAUCACGUGCCGUCCUGACCAUUCCCGUCAUCCUCCAGACGCACGCGGGUUCGUGAAUGUCGUUGGAGCCGAUCGGCAGCUCUCAUGCCUUUUAGUUUUCGAAGUAGCGGUGGUUAGUACUCCGCGGGAGCACAGGUUUUGGUACAAUGGAAAACCAGUAUGGAGCUGUGAACUGGGGCCACUACUAUAUGGGAGGUGGACCACCUGUCCCUUGGUACCACUAUCCUCCACCUGCAUCAUUUCUCCAGCCAGGAUUUCAGCAUCGUUCCUAUGGCUUUGUAGUGCCACAAGGCUACGGCUUACAUCAAUCAUAUUGGAAUGGGAACUACCAGAAUUGUGCCUGGCCAGACCCUUCUAAUGGAACUAUAAAGGAAGUAGCACCACCUGUGCCUAUCAAAGGAGAGAAAUUAGAGAAAGAAACUUGCCCCCUUGGCCCUGACAGUCAUGACCCUCUGCCUAUGGAUAUUUCACCAUGUGCAAGUCCUACACUAACCUCUCCGACAACAUGUGUGACAAACAUUUCUAGCACUAACCUCUCCAACAUAUCGCCAAUAAAAUCUCCAAUUUCCAGAACUGAUCCCAUGCUGAAAAAGGAUACCUUACGUGCCAGUCCAAAGACAUCAUGUGUGUUGAAAACGGUGAAAUUUCCUUCCAUUGAUUUAUCAGAGACAUCAUCGUCUGUAUUGUCGUUAUUGACAAAGUGCAAUGCUUGCAUGAAGACAUUGUUGGCACAAGCCAAAGGCACUGAAGUUACAGCUGAACCAUGUACAUGUCACACAAAGCAGGAAGUAGCUCCAGACUUCCAAAGUAAGCCUGAAAGUACAACAGUAUAUGAACCACCGAAGACUCAGGCUUUUGUCAAUGAUUCACUUAUGAAGCAUAGGCCUAAAGAGGUCACCGUAACUAGAAUGGCUGAGGAACCCCCGAAGCGUGUGGUAAUUCAACGAGUAGAUGGUGUGGCAAGGCUUUUUGCUGUCUCUGAUGAAAUGCCCUUGCUGCAAAAGUCUGAAAACAUCCAAACAAGAGAAACAGUGCAGCUACAAGAGAGUCCAUUCACCACCAGAAGCAACAAAGGAGUGUAUUGCGACGCUCUCGCCGUUACAGAACCUUGUCUGCAGCAGUGGAGUAGUAGCACGGAUGAUCCUUUGAAGUCUGUACUUGAGACGGAAGGAAACUGUAUUGAAAAUGUAUGUCCAAAUCAGGCCAUCUCAGAAUGUAACACUUCACUGCAUACAUCCACAGAACCUGUUUCGGAGCACAAGAAUGCAAGAACUCAUUGUUGGAGACGGCGUGGGAGGCAAAAAGGGGAUAUGAAGAAUCAGUACUUAUUGAAAUGUGUACCUCCAGUAUUGGCUGGUGUAUCACCAUGUGACCUUGGAGAAGACAUGAAUGCCAGUAAAGACUGCUUAUUCCUCCGGUCUGCAGCUUUAGUGUCUACUGAUGCAGUAUUGUCAGCAAGCACCAGCUGCAUGCAAAAGGUAGCAAAUUCUGAAGUGUCUCAUCUUGCCCAUAGGGCUCAGAAAUGCACCGACAAUAGAACUGAACACAGCCCAACAAACCAGUGCUCCUUCUCCGACAUCUCAUCUCAUCAAAUGCCUCCAGAUGAGCUCUUGAACUGUGGGCAAGAAGUUAGUCAAGCAAGCGUAGAUGUUCAUGUUAGUGACGUUUGUUCAAGUACAUGCAUUGAUAAACUUUGUACCAGUGAUGUGGUUGUAGGAGGAAAGUUGACAGGUGUCUAUACAUCAGGACCAGCGAUUGAGCGAUUAUUUACUUCUAUUGAAAUGAAAGUGGAUCCGAAAUUCGGUGGUUGUGUGGAACAUAUAGAUGUACCAUUGGAACUUCUAUCACAAGUUGAAAAGCUUGACGAAGGCUGGAUAUGCUCUUUUGAAUGAUUAUGUUGUAUAUAAUAUGUGAAUCCGGUAAUGAAUGUUCAUAUGUAUGCGAAUAUAA